rnacentral:rRNA from 1 species
UACGUAGGGUGCGAGCGUUAAUCGGAAUUACUGGGCGUAAAGCGUGCGCAGGCGGUUUUGUAAGUCAGAUGUGAAAUCCCCGGGCUUAACCUGGGAACUGCGUUUGAAACUACAAGGCUAGAGUGUGGCAGAGGGGGGUGGAAUUCCACGUGUAGCAGGUGAAAUGCGUAGAGAUGUGGAGGAACACCGAUGGCGAAGGCAGCCCCCUGGGUUAACACUGACGCUCAGGCACGAAAGCGUGGGGAGCAAACAGG